UGGGCGUCGAGCGGCGGACGGGUGAGUAAUGCCUAGGAAAUUGCCUUGAUGUGGGGGAUAACCAUUGGAAACGAUGGCUAAUACCGCAUAAUGCCUACGGGCCAAAGAGGGGGAUCUUCGGACCUCUCGCGUCAAGAUAUGCCUAGGUGGGAUUAGCUAGUUGGUGAGGUAAUGGCUCACCAAGGCGACGAUCCCUAGCUGGUCUGAGAGGAUGAUCAGCCACACUGGAACUGAGACACGGUCCAGACUCCUACGGGAGGCAGCAGUGGGGAAUAUUGCACAAUGGGCGAAAGCCUGAUGCAGCCAUGCCGCGUGUAUGAAGAAGGCCUUCGGGUUGUAAAGUACUUUCAGUUGUGAGGAAGGGUGUGUAGUUAAUAGCUGCNCAUCUUGACGUUAGCAACAGAAGAAGCACCGGCUAACUCCGUGCCAGCAGCCGCGGUAAUACGGAGGGUGCGAGCGUUAAUCGGAAUUACUGGGCGUAAAGCGCAUGCAGGUGGUUCAUUAAGUCAGAUGUGAAAGCCCGGGGCUCAACCUCGGAACUGCAUUUGAAACUGGUGAACUAGAGUGCUGUAGAGGGGGGUAGAAUUUCAGGUGUAGCGGUGAAAUGCGUAGAGAUCUGAAGGAAUACCAGUGGCGAAGGCGGCCCCCUGGACAGACACUGACACUCAGAUGCGAAAGCGUGGGGAGCAAACAGGAUUAGAUACCC
rnacentral:rRNA from 1 species